UACGUAGGGGCCUAGCGUUGUCCGGAUUUAUUGGGCGUAAAGAGCUCGUAGGCGGUUCGGUAAGUCAGGUGUGAAAUCUCCACGCUCAACGUGGAGGCGCCACCUGAAACUGCCGUGACUCGAGUCCGGUAGGGGAGUGUGGAAUUCCCGGUGUAGCGGUGGAAUGCGCAGAUAUCGGGAGGAGCACCUGUGGCGAAAGCGGCGCACUGGACCACAACUGACGCUGAGGCGCGAAAGCUAGGGGAGCAAACAGG
rnacentral:rRNA from 1 species